UGGGGAAUUGUUCACAAUGGGCGCAAGCCUGAUGACGCAACGCCGCGUGGGGGAUGAAGGUCUUCGGAUUGUAAACCCCUGUCGAACGGGACGAAAGACCCGGGAGCUAAUCAUCCCGGGAGUGACGGUACCGUUAAAGGAAGCCACGGCUAACUCUGUGCCAGCAGCCGCGGUAAUACAGAGGUGGCAAGCGUUGUUCGGAAUUACUGGGCGUAAAGGGCGCGUAGGCGGCCCACUAAGUCAGACGUGAAAUCCCCCGGCUUAACCUGGGAACUGCGUCUGAUACUGGAGGGCUUGAGUAUGGGAGAGGGAUGUAGAAUUCCAGGUGUAGCGGUGAAAUGCGUAGAUAUCUGGAGGAAUACCGGUGGCGAAGGCGGCAUCCUGGACCAUUACUGACGCUGAGGCGCGAAAGCUAGGGGAGCAAACGGGAUUAGAUACCCCGGUAGUCCUAGCCCUAAACGAUGAAUGCUAGUUGUCGGCAUGCAUGCAUGUCGGUGACGCAGCUAACGCAUUAAGCACUCCGCCUGGGGAGUACGGUCGCAAGAUUAC
rnacentral:rRNA from 1 species